CUAUUUCUCAGUCACAAGAGGAACGUGUAAGGCAGACAAAAUGUGGAAACUUUUUGGCCAAAUUGAAAAGUUAAAACAAAAUUGAAAACAAAUAGAUCACUGAUGACAUGGCAUGUAAUAUAUAUUUAAUGUUCUCCAGAAGAUUUCUUGUAAGCUUUAUUAUGAAUGACAAAGUUGUAAAAAUCACAUUUCCAGGAUUGGAGGGUGACACUGAGAAUGCUCCAACUUUCUUCGAGGAUGCUAAAACAUUCAUCCUGGAGCACAACCCACUUUCAGAGACUCAUAAAUACAAUAAGAACAUGAUGAGACAUUGGGAAAACCUGCAUCCAAGACUUUUCUCUUCAAUACAAGUUUUCCAAAGCAAACCAGAUUUGCUCUCACCACUGUACCAAGUUUUAUUGCAAUCUGUUAACAUCUUUGGAAAUGCUUCGACAAGAUUCCAAAUCUACUGAUAGGAAAUCUUUUUCCUGCCAAGAUAUAGUGGUGAGUUUAAAGUGUUUGUAUACGUUUUUUCACUUUAUUUUCUUAAAAGAAGUAAUAGAAGUAAAGAAAAGGAAAGUCGCAUGGAAAAAUUCCUGACUUACUGAGUAGAUUCUUGCCAGACGACUCAGGCUUUCUGAUACAUAGAAAAAAAUCACAUUUGGAUACCCUUUUAUAAAAUCUUGACUAAACUGACAAAGCAAUGAAAGCAGGCCAGCUUACAAUUUCUAGUAUAUCGUAAGAGUUA
rnacentral:lncRNA from 10 species